rnacentral:lncRNA from 1 species
CCCAAUAAUUAUGCAAUAAGGAGUGUCUAGCAUAGCCGUAAGUCACAGUACAAUUGCAAGAAAAUGUCAUACAGUCAUAUUAAAGAUUGUCCGAAAGAAAGGUCAUCAUAACAAAUAUAUAUGUUGCACCACCUUAUAAAAGUUCACAUGUAUUCAAUUACUAAAUCCAAGACUUGCAUUUACAAUUAUCAACACAAAUCUAAGGGUAUCUGAUUGUUACACCAGCAUCCACCAAAUUUUAUCCAAUCAUACUAAGUCUGCAGUCAAAAACAUAUGACAGAUACAUUGUCCACCAUAUAAUGCUUUCUGGAAAUAACCUCCCUUGUGAUCUCACUGAGAAUUUGAUACUGCCCAAAUACAGCUAAGACCAUCCAACAAUAACAAAUAGGGUAAUUCCAAUGUCCAUCCCCAAUUGGAAAAGUUAGCACUGAGUACUGAACACAUUUACAGUUCCUUCCCCAUUCCUUUGCAUUUAGGGACUAGGGUCAACAACAAUACAUAUCAUCCAAGCCUUAAAUUAUGAAUAAAAUUUCAUAUUAAAAUUGCAUUUUAGGCAACAACUAGCUUUCACAUUAAGAAAUCAUCCAACUUUUUUGGGCCAUAGUUGGCUCAUGUAUACCACACCACCCUUCAUAGAUAAUGAAAAAAUAUUUCAUCUCAACAACAGUUUCACAAUUAGGGUCCUAAAAGGACAAUAGAUACUAUCCCUUAAAUCAUAUGAUUACAAUUUCGUAUGAAUAUUGCAUUGAAGGCCAUCAUCCAACUUUUGCAUUAUGAAUAGAGUUCAAAAUGCAUUUUACUCGAAGGUCAUUG